GAUGAAGAACGUAUCGAAAUGCGAUAAGUAGUGUGAAUUGCAGAAUUCAGUGAAUCAUCGAAUCUUUGAACGCACAUUGCGCCCCUUGGUAUUCCAUGGGGCAUGCCUGUUCGAGCGUCAUUUGUACCCUCAAGCUUUGCUUGGUGUUGGGCGUCUUGUCUUGUAUUAGACUCGCCUUAAAGUCAUUGGCAGCCAGUGUUUUUGGUAGUAAGCGCAGCACAUUUUGCGUCUUAGUCCUUGAAUCGUGGCAUCCAUGAAGCCUUUUUUCACUUUUGACCUCGGAUCAGGUAGGGAUACCCGCUGAACUUAAGCAUAUCAAUAAGCGGAGGA
rnacentral:misc_RNA from 1 species